AAAAAAUUCCCAUUUUUUCCCAUUUUUUCCCAUUUUUCCCCGUUUUUCCAGGUGCCUUCGUGGUGUGCUGGACGCCGGGGCAGGUGCUGCUGCUGCUGGACGGGCUGGGCUGCCGGAGCUGCGACGUGCUGGCCGUGGAGAAAUACGUCCUGCUGCUGGCCGAGGCCAACUCCCUCGUCAACGCCGUCGUCUACUCGUGGCGCGACGGCGAGAUGCGCCGCACCUUCCGGCGGAUUCUGUGCUUCCCGUGCCUCCGGAAUUCCCACUACGCCGCCCCGCAGCGCGGGCUGCCCUCCCACAACGGCCACCUCACCGUGGAUUCGUCCAUUUAGGGCUUUUUUGGUAUUUUUUUGGGGGGAUUUUGGGGUUUUUUUGGGGAUUUUUGUGGGUGCGGCCCCAAGGGUUGUGGGGCGAUGAGGGGGGAGUUUUUCUUGGAGAAGAGGUGGUGGAGAUGGGGUUGUGGGGUUGAGGAGGAUUUGGGAUGCUUUGGGGGUUCCAGAGUGGGAGUUUUCCUGGAAAAGUUGUAGUGGAUCAAGGAUGGAGUGAUUUUUUGGGAUUUGGGAGAGUCCCGGACUCUUGGUGGGCUCCAGCAUCUGAAUAUCCUUGGAAAACUCCUGGUGGAUCAAGGAUGAAGGGAUUUUUUUGGGAUUUGGGAGCAUCUUGGAGGCUUGUUGGGCUCCAACAUCCAAAUUUCGUUGGAAAGCUCCUGGUGGGAUCAAGGAUGAAGCGAUUUUUUGGGAUCUGGGAGAGUCCUGGACUCUUGGUGGGCUCCAGCAUCCAAAUUUCCUUGGAAAACUCCUGGUGGAUCAAGGAUUGAGAAGGAUGAGAAGAAUUUUGGAGUCCUGGGAGGCUCCAGCAUCCAAAUUUCCAUGGAAAAUUCAAGAACGAGGUGGUUUUGUGGGAAACCCUUGGAGCAGAAUUCCCAUUAAAGACUGGUUUUAACCCAGAGUAGUUUUUCCUUGGAAAAGGCUCAGGAAUCCUGCGGGGUGGGGGUUGGGAAUUCCGAGGGCAAGAUCUGGGAAUUCUGAGGGAAGGAUUUGGGAAUUCUGAGGGUAGGAUUUUCCCUGGGAUCCCCCAGAAUUUGGGAAUUCUGGUGGCCGAAUUUUCCCUGAAAAAUUCCACAAAUCACAGGAUUGGGGAAUGCUGAGAAAAAGCCAAAUUUUCCCUCUUUUUUCCCUCUCUUUUCCCCGAUCCUGGGAAACUUCUCCAUGACAGUUCUGGGAAUUCCCAGGGAUCCCUGAAGUGGAACCAGGUGACUUUUCCCACCUUGGCUGCAGAAUUCCUUGGAUUAAAUGGGAUUUUUCCAGAUUCUCUGGGAUUUUUCCAAGAAAAACUGAGGUUAAGCACGCAAACCUAGAACCCAG
rnacentral:lncRNA from 1 species